AGUGAACGCUGGCGGUAGGCCUAACACAUGCAAGUCGAACGGCAGCACAGUAAGAGCUUGCUCUUACGGGUGGCGAGUGGCGGACGGGUGAGGAAUACAUCGGAAUCUACUUUUUCGUGGGGGAUAACGUAGGGAAACUUACGCUAAUACCGCAUACGACCUACGGGUGAAAGCAGGGGAUCUUCGGACCUUGCGCGAUUGAAUGAGCCGAUGUCGGAUUAGCUAGUUGGCGGGGUAAAGGCCCACCAAGGCGACGAUCCGUAGCUGGUCUGAGAGGAUGAUCAGCCACACUGGAACUGAGACACGGUCCAGACUCCUACGGGAGGCAGCAGUGGGGAAUAUUGGACAAAGGGCGCAAGCCUGAUCCAGCCAUACCGCGUGGGUGAAGAAGGCCUUCGGGUUGUAAAGCCCUUUUGUUGGGAAAGAAAAGCAGCAGGUUAAUACCCCGCUGUCCUGACGGUACCAAAAGAAUAAGCACCGGCUAACUUCGUG
rnacentral:rRNA from 1 species